rnacentral:rRNA from 1 species
AACGAACGCUGGCGGCAUGCCUAACACAUGCAAGUCGAACGAAGUCUUCGGACUUAGUGGCGCACGGGUGCGUAACGCGUGGGAAUCUGCCCUUGGGUGCGGAAUAACUUCUCGAAAGGGAUGCUAAUACCGCAUAAUGUCGUAAGACCAAAGAUUUAUCGCCCAAGGAUGAGCCCGCGUAAGAUUAGCUAGUUGGUGGGGUAAAAGCCUACCAAGGCGACGAUCUUUAGCUGGUCUGAGAGGAUGAUCAGCCACACUGGGACUGAGACACGGCCCAGACUCCUACGGGAGGCAGCAGUGGGGAAUAUUGGACAAUGGGCGAAAGCCUGAUCCAGCAAUGCCGCGUGAGUGAUGUAGGCCUUAGGGUUGUAAAGCUCUUUUACCCGGGAUGAUAAUGACAGUACCGGGAGAAUAAGCUCCGGCUAACUCCGUGCCAGCAGCCGCGGUAAU